AGUGAACGCUGGCGGUAGGCCUAACACAUGCAAGUCGAACGGCAGCACAGUAAGAGCCUGCUCUUACGGGUGGCGAGUGGCGGACGGGUGAGGAAUACAUCGGAAUCUACUUUUUCGUGGGGGAUAACGUAGGGAAACUUACGCUAAUACCGCAUACGACCUACGGGUGAAAGCAGGGGAUCUUCGGACCUUGCGCAAUUGAAUGAGCCGAUGUCGGAUUAGCUAGUUGGCGGGGUAAAGGCCCACCAAGGCGACGAUCCGUAGCUGGUCUGAGAGGAUGAUCAGCCACACUGGAACUGAGACACGGUCCAGACUCCUACGGGAGGCAGCAGUGGGGAAUAUUGGACAAUGGGCGCAAGCCUGAUCCAGCCAUACCGCGUGGGUGAAGAAGGCCUUCGGGUUGUAAAGCCCUUUUGUUGGGAAAGAAAAGCAGCAGGUUAAUACCCCGCUGUUCUGACGGUACCCAAAGAAUAAGCACCGGCUAACUUCGUG
rnacentral:rRNA from 1 species